AUGCCCAGGUUACAAAGGUGUGCUACUGCUAGAAGAAAGAAAAUUUUUGGUGUUGGUCGUGGCAAGAUGGCUGCCGCUACAGCUCAUGAUGAUGACUUUAUGGAGCCACCGGUUAGGUCAACAUCACUUCCCGUUAAAUACGUAGCGCCGGUUUCUAGAUGCACACCCAUUUCUAUUUCGUCCAUCGUGAAAGAUUUUAACGAUGAGAAGAAACGCUUAGUCAUUGAAAUGAAGUUUGACGGAAUUUUGAAACUACCGGAAAUCACAAACUCUCAGGAAUUUAGUCACAACCUUCUAUCUAGGGUAUCCACUGAAGAAAUAGCAAUUAGAAUGGGUGAUGGAACUCUUCUGCACUUCACUGAUGGUGAUGUUCACAAAGUUCUGGGUAUCCCAUUCUCGGGAAAGGAGUUGCGAAUUCCUUCCACGGAAGAAGUCAAUCACAUCAAAAAUGUAAUAUGCAUCCGACUGAAUGUCCCGGAGUUUAAAAAAACUCACGAGAAGUGUAGUCACUGA
rnacentral:rRNA from 1 species